rnacentral:rRNA from 1 species
GAUGAACGCUGGCGGCGUGCCUAAUACAUGCAAGUCGAGCGAACGGACGAGAAGCUUGCUUCUCUGAUGUUAGCGGCGGACGGGUGAGUAACACGUGGAUAACCUACCUAUAAGACUGGGAUAACUUCGGGAAACCGUAGCUAAUACCGGAUAAUAUUUUGAACCGCAUGGUUCAAAAGUGUAAGACGGUCUUGCUGUCACUUAUAGAUGGAUCCGCGCUGCAUUAGCUAGUUGGUAAGGUAACGGCUUACCAAGGCAACGAUGCAUAGCCGACCUGAGAGGGUGAUCGGCCACACUGGAACUGAGACACGGUCCAGACUCCUACGGGAGGCAGCAGUAGGGAAUCUUCCGCAAUGGGCGAAAGCCUGACGGAGCAACGCCGCGUGAGUGAUGAAGGUCUUCGGAUCGUAAAACUCUGUUAUUAGGGAAGAACAUAUGUGUAAGUAACUGUGCACAUCUUGACGGUACCUAAUCAGAAAGCCACGGCUAACUACGUG